GUGAGGAAUAUUGGUCAAUGGGCGCAAGCCUGAACCAGCCAUCCCGCGUGCAGGAAGACGGCGCUAUGCGUUGUAAACUGCUUUUCCAGGGGGAGAAACUUGCGCACGUGUUGCGCAAUUGACGGUACCCUGGGAAUAAGCAUCGGCUAACUCCGUGCCAGCAGCCGCGGUAAUACGGAGGAUGCGAGCGUUAUCCGGAUUCAUUGGGUUUAAAGGGUGUGUAGGCGGACUAUUAAGUCAGUGGUGAAAUCCUGCAGCUUAACUGCAGAACUGCCAUUGAUACUGAUAGCCUUGAGUUUGGUUAAGGUAGGCGGAAUGUGUAAUGUAGCGGUGAAAUGCUUAGAUAUUACACAGAACACCAAUUGCGUAGGCAGCUUACUGAGCCGACACUGACGCUGAGGCACGAAAGCGUGGGGAUCGAACAGGAUUAGAAACCCUUGUAGUCC
rnacentral:rRNA from 1 species